rnacentral:rRNA from 1 species
UACGUAGGGGGCUAGCGUUGUCCGGAUUUAUUGGGCGUAAAGCGCGUGUAGGCGGCCAGCUAGGUCCGACGUGAAAUCCCAAAGCUUAACUUUGGAACUGCGUCGGAUACUGGAUGGCUUGAAUUCGGGAGAGGGAUGCAGAAUUCCAGGUGUAGCGGUGAAAUGCGUAGAUAUCUGGAGGAAUACCGGUGGCGAAGGCGGCAUCCUGGACCGACAUUGACGCUGAGGAGCGAAAGCUAGGGGAGCAAACGGG